rnacentral:rRNA from 1 species
AGAGUUUGAUCCUGGCUCAGGAUAAACGCUGGCGGUGUACAUAAGACAUGCAAGUCGAACGGGAGAAGACUGGAAGAUUUAUCUACUAGCUCGGACACCGUGGCGGACGGGUGAGUAACACGUAAGCAACCUGCCUAUAAGAGGGGAAUAACAGUGAGAAAUUACUGAUAAUACCGCAUAAGCUGGAGGUAUCGCAUGAUACAUUCAGAAAAGAUUUAUCGCUUAUAGAUGGGCUUGCGUCUGAUUAGCUAGUUGGUGAGAUAACAGCUCACCAAGGCGACGAUCAGUAGCCGGAUUGAGAGGUUGAACGGCCACAUUGGGACUGAGAUACGGCCCAGACUCCUACGGGAGGCAGCAGUAGGGAAUAUUGCGCAAUGGAGGAAACUCUGACGCAGUGACGCCGCGUGCAGGAAGAAGGUUUUCGGAUUGUAAACUGCUUUUAACAGGAAAGAAAAAAAUGACGGUACCUGUUGAAUAAGCUCCGGCUAACUACGUGCCAGCAGCCGCGGUAAUACGUAGGGGGCGAGCGUUAUCCGGAUUUAUUGGGUGUAAAGGGUGCGUAGACGGAAAUGCAAGUUAGUUGUGAAAUACCUCGGCUUAACUGAGGAACUGCAACUAAAACUAUAUUUCUUGAGUAUCGGAGGGGUUUGUGGAAUUCCUAGUGUAGCGGUGAAAUGCGUAGAUAUUAGGAAGAACACCGGUGGCGAAGGCGACAAACUGGACGAUAACUGACGUUGAGGCACGAAAGUGUGGGGAGCAAACAGGAUUAGAUACCCUGGUAGUCCACACCGUAAACGAUGGAUACUAGGUGUUGGCAAUGAAUAAUUGUCGGUGCCGGCGCUAACGCAAUAAGUAUCCCACCUGGGGAGUACGACCGCAAGGUUGAAACUCAAAGGAAUUGACGGGGGCCCG